GGGUUGUGAGGUUAAGCGACUAAGCGUACACGGUGGAUGCCCUGGCAGUCAGAGGCGAUGAAGGACGUGCUAAUCUGCGAUAAGCGUCGGUAAGGUGAUAUGAACCGUUAUAACCGGCGAUUUCCGAAUGGGGAAACCCAGUGUGUUUCGACACACUAUCGUUAAGUGAAUACAUAGCUUAACGAAGCGAACCGGGGGAACUGAAACAUCUAAGUACCCCGAGGAAAAGAAAUCAACCGAGAUUCCCCCAGUAGCGGCGAGCGAACGGGGAGCAGCCCAGAACCUGAAUCAGUUUGUGUGUUAGUGGAAGCGUCUGGAAAGUCGCAGGGUACAGGGUGAUACUCC
rnacentral:rRNA from 1 species